UACAUUACACUAGCUAGCGCGCUGAUGCAAUUUACCCUAGCGCGUAAUUUCCCUCCUAAACUUUGGGAAAUUCUAGAACCCAAAUUCCUUACAGAAGAAAAAAACACUAAAGCAACAAAAUUUCUGGAACCCAAAUCCUUCUUCUUUCUCGGACAAAAAACCUAAACCCUUUUUGUUCGUUUCUUCGCUCAAUUAUCUGCCUGACCUUGAAUUAUUCUUCCCAGACUAAAGCAACAAAAUUAAGAAAAAAACCAUAAAGAUUCCAAAGCUUCCAUUGCCGGCGACCUUUGCAGAUACACGACCAUUGCUGUAAUACAAACGCCGACGACCUUCUCAACGAGGACUGCUCUUUGUCUCAGUAAGCUAGGAGACUUAUCCCGGAGGAUUGCCAGUCAACCAAAAGAGGAUCAACAAGGGGUUGUCCGAACUGAAGGUUGUUGAAGAACAAAUGGAUUAGAUAUGGAGGAAAAAUAACUUUUUGGUGGUGCAUGGAUCUCGGAUGUGUAAUUAGUUGGCCAUUUUGAUGUAUGUUUUUGUGAUCGUAGAUACGUAAGUAACUUGUAAUACGUUACUUUGGGGAUGCUUAUAUAAGUACUAGGAAAGUACUUAAAUUCAUUUUGUAGAAUUUCAAGAGAUUGGAAAUGUUUAUAUUUAUGGUCUCAUUAAAAAUGUAAAUUUAUCAUCUUAGAUUUGCAUUUUGACUUUAAACAGUGUGUUAUUAUAGGUAUUAAUUAAAAAAGCAGGUGUUUAAUUUUUAUA